rnacentral:rRNA from 1 species
CGGGAUGAAGCUUCAAAUUUAAAAUCUGGCGUCUUUCAGGCGUCCGAGUUGUAAUCUAUAGAGGCGUUUUCCGCGCCGGACCGCGUCCAAGUCUCUUGGAAUAGAGUAUCAAAGAGGGUGACAAUCCCGUACUUGACGCGACAACCGGUGCUCUGUGAUACGUUCUCAAUGAGUCGAGUUGUUUGGGAAUGCAGCUCUAAAUGGGUGGUAAAUUCCAUCUAAGGCUAAAUAUUGGCGAGAGACCGAUAGCGAACAAGUACCGUGAGGGAAAGAUGAAAAGCACUUUGGAAAGAGAGUUAAACAGCACGUGAAAUUGUUAAAAGGGAAACGAUUGAAGUCAGUCGUGUGAAAGGUAUUCAGCCGUCUCUGGCGGUGUAUUUGCCUUUCACGGGUCAACAUCAGUUUGAUCCGGUAGAAAAAGGCGGGAGGAAGGUGGCACCCUCGGGUGUGUUAUAGCCUCCUGUCAUAUGUGCCGGACCAGACUGAGGAACGCAGCUUGCCGCAAGGCCGGGGUUCGCCCACGUACAAGCUUAGGAUGUUGACAUAAUGGCUUUAAACGACCCGUCU